rnacentral:rRNA from 1 species
CAGGACGAACGCUGGCGGCGUGCCUAAUACAUGCAAGUCGAACGGUCUUUCUAUGGAAGCCUGCUUCCACUGAGAAGAUAGUGGCGAACGGGUGAGUAACACGUGGGUAACCUGCCCAUAAGGAGGGGGAUAACAUCCGGAAACGGGUGCUAAUACCGCAUAGUUUUCUUGAUCGCAUGAUUGAGAAAGGAAAGACGGCCUUUGUGCUGUCGCUUAUGGAUGGACCCGCGGCGUAUUAGUUAGUUGGUGAGGUAACGGCUCACCAAGACGAUGAUACGUAGCCGACCUGAGAGGGUGAUCGGCCACAUUGGGACUGAGACACGGCCCAAACUCCUACGGGAGGCAGCAGUAGGGAAUCUUCCGCAAUGGACGAAAGUCUGACGGAGCAACGCCGCGUGAGUGAAAGAAGGUUUUCGGAUCGUAAAACUCUGUUGUCAGAGAAGAACAAGUUGGAGAGUAACUGCUCCAGCCUUGACGGUAUCUGACCAGAAAGCCACGGCUAACUACGUGCCAGCCGCCGC